rnacentral:lncRNA from 1 species
GCCAUGUCUGAAAUGUCAUUCGAUUCCUUUAUACUUCUCAGGAGCAGUUAAUCAUGAAAGCUCUACCACUUGGUGGGAAGGAAGAUGGUCUAUUCUUCUGCCCAACGGAGGCCGCGUUGAGUCCUUGAUUGGGCAUGCCAUGGCAUCUGCAGUGUACCUCGUGCUGCUGGGUGGCUCGGGACGGGCCAGUUGCCGUGGGAGGCCCACCUCCUGCUGA